UACGAAGGGGGGCUAGCGUUGCUCGGAAUCACUGGGCGUAAAGGGUGCGUAGGCGGGUUUUUAAGUCAGGGGUGAAAUCCCGGAGCUCAACUCCGGAACUGCCUUUGAUACUGGCAACCUAGAGGCUGGAAGAGGUUAGUGGAAUUCCCAGUGUAGAGGUGAAAUUCGUAGAUAUUGGGAAGAACACCAGUGGCGAAGGCGGCUAACUGGUCCAGUACUGACGCUGAGGUGCGAAAGCGUGGGGAGCAAACAGG
rnacentral:rRNA from 1 species